UACGUAGGGGGCAAGCGUUGUCCGGAAUCAUUGGGCGUAAAGAGCGUGUAGGCGGCUCGAUAAGUCUGCUGUGAAAGUCCAGGGCUCAACCCUGGAAGGCCGGUGGAAACUGUCGGGCUAGAGUCCGGAAGAGGCGAGUGGAAUUCCCGGUGUAGCGGUGAAAUGCGCAGAUAUCGGGGAGACACGAGCGAAGGCAGCUCGCUGGGACGGUACUGACGCUGAGACGCGAAAGCGUGGGGAGCAAACAGG
rnacentral:rRNA from 1 species